GGAGACAUGGAACUCACCCUUACAAGGCCUAGAACCUGACAGAGCAUACAAGACUGAAGCCCAAAUAACCAAGAACAGGAAGCUGAAGUCCCCUUAUAGGUCACUAUGGGGAACUUCCUAGGCCCCAGGGCUGGCCUCAUUUAUGCCUGGUGCCGGGAGGCAGUGGCGUCAUGUUGUGGGACUCAGUCUGUGGCAGCUACACCACCAGAAUCCACGACUGCAGAGCCUGACUUUGUAUAUGCCGGAGUGGUGGAGGUCCAGCAUGUGCAGCCCAAGUCAAAGCGGCGCAAAGGUUUGGCUGGCCGCGUGAGGAGCUGGGUACAAAAACGGAGGCGUAAAAAAAUUUGCCCCACUGCAAAUGAAGGUAGGGUGGAAAUUAUAUCAUUAAGUUGAUUGAAGCAAACAAUUCCAGUUUACUCAUCCAGUGUCCCAGAGAAACUCAGUAAAUGCUAUGUGAUGUUCUUCAUUUAUUUCAUUUGUGCCCAUUUAAAUGCAUUAAAUUAAUGGGUGAUGCAACUACACAAGUAAAGUUACAUUGGCAACUUAGAGUUUGGUUCUUUUUGUUUCUUUGUUUUUGUGAAAAGGUCUCAUUUUCUCACCCAGGAGUGCACUGGUGCAAUCACAGCUCAUUGCAAUCUUGACCUCCCCGUGUUCAGAUGAUCC